rnacentral:rRNA from 1 species
AGUGAACGCUGGCGGUAGGCCUAACACAUGCAAGUCGAACGGCAGCACAGUAAGAGCUUGCUCUUACGGGUGGCGAGUGGCGGACGGGUGAGGAAUACAUCGGAAUCUACUUUUUCGUGGGGGAGAACGUAGGGAAACUUACGCUAAUACCGCAUACGACCUACGGGUGAAAGCAGGGGAUCUUCGGACCUUGCGCGAUUGAAUGAGCCGAUGUCGGAUUAGCUAGUUGGCGGGGUAAAGGCCCACCAAGGCGACGAUCCGUAGCUGCUCUGAGAGGAUGAUCAGCCACACUGGAACUGAGACACGGUCCAGACUCCUACGGGAGGCAGCAGUGGGGAAUAUUGGACAAUGGGCGCAAGCCUGAUCCAGCCAUACCGCGUGGGUGAAGAAGGCCUUCGGGUUGUAAAGCCCUUUUGUUGGGAAAGAAAAGCAGCAGGUUAAUACCCCGCUGUUCUGACGGUACCCAAAGAAUAAGCACCGGCUAACUUCGUG